GUUUGAGUGGUGUUGUGGUUUGAUUGUUAGAUUAUGAAUCUGGAGGCCAUGGUUUGAAUCCAAGCUCAGCCA